rnacentral:piRNA from 1 species
UUCUCUAGGAAAUGCAGAACACAGCACAAG